rnacentral:rRNA from 1 species
AAUUCGCCCUUAGAGUUUGAUCAUGGCUCAGAUUGAACGCUGGCGGCAUGCCUUACACAUGCAAGUCGAACGGUAACGCGGGGCAGCCUGGCGACGAGUGGCGAACGGGUGAGUAAUAUAUCGGAACGUGCCCAGUCGUGGGGGAUAACUGCUCGAAAGAGCAGCUAAUACCGCAUACGACCUGAGGGUGAAAGCGGGGGAUCUUCGGACCUCGCGCGAUUGGAGCGACCGAUAUCAGAUUAGGUAGUUGGUGGGGUAAAGGCCUACCAAGCCGACGAUCUGUAGCUGGUCUGAGAGGACGACCAGCCACACUGGGACUGAGACACGGCCCAGACUCCUACGGGAGGCAGCAGUGGGGAAUUUUGGACAAUGGGGGCAACCCUGAUCCAGCCAUGCCGCGUGCGGGAAGAAGGCCUUCGGGUUGUAAACCGCUUUUGUCAGGGAAGAAAUCCUUUGGGCUAAUAACUCGGAGGGAUGACGGUA